rnacentral:misc_RNA from 1 species
AUUAACAACAGUGGAUUUUGGGGAUGAUUUGAUUUACGUUCAUGGGUUGGUGAUUGCGUGUCAAAUUUGACGUGAACGUAAAAAAUAUUGGAUUGAAAAAAUGAAAUAUUAAACUAAAAUUAAUCGUAUAUGAGCAUAUAUCUGGACCUUUUUGAGCCGUAUUGAACGUUUUUGCAUUGAAGUAUUCAUUGACUCAUUAAAUGCCAUUAAAAAAUGUGAUGAACAGAUACUCCCAGGAUAUUAAGGCCAUUGUCUGAAUAUUAAGCAGAUCAAACAAGAAAGCUAAAUUCACAUUGUGAUUAGGGAGUUCAGGAGAUUUUUGCUCAGACUGACGUGCAUGCAAUAUUUUCAUCGAAAACUAAUUAUAUUUAGAAAAAUCGUCUUUUGAAGGAACUACAAAAGUUAAUCUAUAAAAAAUGUCAACAUCUGGAGAUUUCGGCAAUCCUCUUAGGAAGUUUAAAUUAGUAUUUCUAGGAGAACAAAGCGUAGGCAAAACGUCUCUAAUAACCAGAUUCAUGUAUGACAGCUUCGAUAAUACUUACCAAGCAACUAUAGGUAUUGAUUUUUUAUCGAAGACAAUGUAUCUUGAAGACAGAACGGUUAGAUUGCAGCUCUGGGAUACUGCAGGACAGGAACGUUUCAGGUCCCUCAUACCUUCUUACAUUCGGGACUCCACUGUUGCUGUGGUAGUCUAUGAUAUCACUAAUGCCAAUUCCUUUCACCAGACAUCCAAGUGGAUUGAUGACGUGAGAACUGAGAGAGGCAGCGAUGUGAUAAUAAUGCUGGUUGGAAACAAAACUGACUUGUCCGAUAAACGACAAGUUAGUACGGAAGAAGGUGAGAGGAAAGCUAAAGAACUGAAUGUAAUGUUUAUUGAAACUAGCGCGAAAGCUGGAUAUAAUGUGAAGCAGCUAUUCAGAAGAGUUGCGGCCGCUUUGCCUGGUAUGGAUUCUACAGAAAAUAAACCACCAGAAGAUAUGCAAGAAGUCGUCUUGAAAGACACACCGAAUGAGCUCAAAGAUCCAGAUGGAGGCUGUGCGUGUUGAUCAAAUUAUACAAUGUUAUCUGUUUCUGUGCUUGAUCAGCAUAGAUACCGACUUCGUAAAGGUACUGGCUUGAUUUAUUGAAGAAUGGAACUCUGUAGCUCUUGAACUGUUAUCUCCCUUUUUGUUAAUUUUGCUUUGUUGUAACUCAUUCUAUUUGGAUUUCAGUUUAGAGAAUGAGACAUCCAUAAUUUAGAGAUGGUAUCUAGGUAGGGUUUUCUACUGUGACAAUAAUAACAUAGACUAGCCUCACAUUUGAAAUAAUACUUGAUUCUAAUAGUCAAAUAUUGGAUAAUAUAAUUUAACGCUAAUUCUGAAAGAAUAUGUCCAUUCUUGGAAACUGAUAGUAGAACAUAAUCAAUUUUUUAGGUGAUGUUCAUCAAAUAAAAAGUUUUGAGCUAUAGAAUGUUUCAUAAUCUGCUUUUCUGUUUUUCAAACAAUUUAAAAAUUGUGAAAUGCAUAUUACCGAUCUCAAUUGAUUUCAAAACGUAAUUUAUAUUUCUUUUGCCAUCUUGCAUUUGUUCUUGGUUUAUAUGAGGUAAGAUAUAUUUUUAUUUCAUGUCGAGUGAAUUCAAUACUCGCUUUGAUAUUAUUCAUGAAUUAGUGAAUCUUUCCAAAAAAUGUAUUCUCCAUAUAAUUUUAAAAAUAUUCCAGCUAUGCAAUUUUAAUUACCUUUUCACUUCUAGACCUAAGGUGUAAAAUUAUUCAUUUUUGAGUUUAAUUUUUCUAAUUCGUUUUGAAAAUAAUGAAACUUUAAAAAUCAACAAUAUAUUUAUGCAUUUUGCAUUUUUUGAUAAUGAACUGUGGGUAUGAUAUAACCAAUAUUUGAAAGUCGGCAUCUAUGUUUCAUUAUUUUCUAGAUUAUUUAAAUAACUUUUUGCCUCUACAAGUUAUGUAAAUUAUAUAAUUUCGUAUUAAUAGUUCUAUAAGUCUAUAUAAUUUUUAUCUUCUAAUUUUUUUGCGUUAUAUGAAUCAGAACCGCUUACUGAAGGUGUUAAGAAAAAAAUGUGUACACUAUCAACUUGAGUAUUGUGCAGGAAAAGACCUUUUUUAUGUUUAACCUAAACUUAGAUUAAUCAUUCUAAUAAAAUAUAGAUUUUGUUAACAGCUUUCAGAAAUGUAUUAUAUAUAAUCCUGAAAGUUGGCAGCAUUGAUGUUUGUUGUUUGCAAUUUUUAUCAGGCUUCACAAGACUUAACAGCAGUCCGUAUAUUGGGAGUUUAUAUUAUCAUAAAAAAAAUUGUUUUUUCAUAUACCUUUUGAAAAAUAAUAUUUUCAGAGUGACUGUGAUAAUCCCAUUAUUGAAAAUUUUUUGAAUUAAAAUCAAUAACUGAACACAAAUCACCAAGUGAUGUGCAAUUUUCAUUUUCAGAGAAAGUAUCUUUUCCUUCACAAGAAUUUCACUGCUUGUGUAGUGCAAAAGAAAGAUUACCAAAAUACUGUAUGCUUAAUAUAGGCCAAUAUUAUUGUGCUUGAUCAUCUAUGUUGACACAAUGGUGUUUUAUAAAGCAAUAUUUUUUUAGUUGGUGGCAUACAGGUUUGUGAAAUAUUAACAUUGCAGGAAUUAUAAGCUGUCUUCUCUUUAGUAUUUAAACAUUUCAAAUGAUUGAGUUUACUACUACUUGUAUUAAACGCUAGAGUUGUUUCAAUAAUUCCUAAUAUAUUAAACACUAAACAGGUGAAAUCACUUAUUUUUAUUCAAUUCUAAAUAUAUUAUUUUUUGAGAUUCAUACAUUUUUUCCAGAACAGAUGAUCGGAUUUAUCACUUAUGACUAAACUUACUGAAAGAAAACAAAUAAAAAAUUUAGUAAAGAUACAAAUCAGUUGGAAAUUGGGAAUGCAAUAUAAAAAAGUUUUGAUAUAUCAAAAUAAUCAUAUUGAAUUAUUAAAAAAUAUAUCAAAAACUUCCUGGAAUAUGAACAAUGAUAACUAUAAAAUAGAAACAGUAUUACACAACAAAUCUACAUUCACCACAAAUCUACAUUUAGUAGUACUUAAAGUACAUAUUUCAAUUACACUCAAACAAUUGGCAUUGGAGUUCCUGCUGAAUGUGAUGUAUGAACAAAAAAACUUUACCACCACUUUUAUUUUACCAAAGAUGAAGGUAACCUAGUCAUUGUACCCACCUUGUAAAACAAUCGUUAAGCGGGAAGACGCCGACUGGAGAGCAAAUGCAAUGAGCUCUACAUGAGAGUGGUCCAUUGCUGUUCCCAACUUGGACUCCGAGUACUAUUAAAUGAACUCUAGACUAGACAGACUAGUUUAAAUGUAUGAUCACUCCACAACAAAAGUCAUUCUAGGGGAUUUGAGUUGGAGUAUACAUAUUGUUUUUCGACAAGGAGAUAAUUUCAGAUCUGGAAGGCCUGUCGGCUGAGUUCACAGUUGGAUUUGAAUGAAGAAAGUGGUGAAUUCAAAAGAACAGUAUCCAUUCUGUCUGAAACAGGAUACUAUCUGACUGGGUUGAUGAGGCAGGUUCUUGACCUCAUGUUUGAACAAUUUUUCCCAGUUUUUGGAAUUCAUAUAUUUUUUCUAGAACUAUCGAUCAGGCUUAUUACUAAUGUCCAAACCUACUCAAGAAAAACACAAAAAUUCAGUAAAGAUACAAAUCAAUUCAAAAAUCUAGAAUAUGAACAGUAAUAACAUUUAUUUACUAAACUUUGCUUCAACAAUUAGUUCUGUUCAAAAAUUUUGGAGUAUAAUUAGCGAAUUAAUGGAGAUAUGAUCUCAACCAUGUGUUUUUGGCUUCUUGUAUAUGAUAUUUUCAUUCCAUUUACUGAAGACUAAAGCAAUUUACAAGAGUCCAACUUGUUCUUUUCAAAUUGAUUUUACCUCCCUAAUUAGAAAAAAAAUAAUUUCGUAAUGUUAAUUACCGAUUCCGAAAAUGCCAUGAUUAUAAUUUAAUUUUUUAAUUGAUGAAGAAACACUGGCAGAUCUUUUAAAAGGGUAUGGUAGUAACAAAAUGGCGAGAGCUUCUUUUUGUUGCUUGAUGUAAUCAGGUGCAAAAUUUCAAAAUUAUGAAAGUUAUCAUUUGCCUUUAUAACGACAAGCUUGUUAUUUAUAUCAUUACUGAAAACUACGCUAGUCAUUUUGCACCUGAAUGUGUGUAUGUGGUCAUUAAGAUUCUGGAAAUGGGCUUACAAAAUUGACCUGCGAAUUGUGUGGUGAAGUAACUCUUGUUUUAUAUCAGACCUGCAAAUCUGGAUAAGGAGCACCACUGUCUUGAUACAUAUUUUCAACAGUUCACUGGGUUGAAAAAUAAACAUUUGUUUAUUGAACUUUUUUUUACUUGUGAUAAUUUUACAGUAUUCUAAACACUAAAAAAAUUGUAUUGCGGCAAAUUAUAUAUUGUAUGAUUGAACUUUGAAAUUCAUUAUUUAUUUGCCUGGAGUAGACUGAAAAACAGUUACAGGUCUUUGUCACUCAGGUCACUUGGUAUAUUGGUACGUCAUGAACAUGUUUCUUUUAUGACUACAGAUGCACAAGGGACACUCUCGCACUAACUGAAUAUGUGACUUAAAUGUUAACGAAAAUAAAAUUUAUAAAAAUA